rnacentral:rRNA from 1 species
UCUUCUGGCCAAAGAUAUGGCCACAGUCGUAUCACCCUGCUGUUCAAGUCACUGAAGUUAAACAAGGCUGUGCCUGGUCAGUAUCUAAAUGGGAGACCACAUGGGAAAACUAGCUUGCUGUUAGAA